CCUCCGGCACCAUCCCCUUUUUGUGCUCCGUUUUUGGGCUCCAAGUUCUGGCAGUCCUUUAAGCACAGUGCUGUACAAAAUAAUAGUAUAUCUAUAUGUGAAGGUGGCCAAUUCACUUGUUAACUUUUACACCUGUUAAUCAAGUAAUCAAUUUUCUUCAGAUUAUUUUCUGAAAUCGCUCACAAUAAAAUAAUAAGAAAUAUUUCGAUUAUUUGGAACACGAAUUUUGCAUGUUAUAUUAUUGUAUUAAACUAGUAACCGCUGCUGUAUAUUUUUUUGUUUUGCGCUGGUCGCAAGAACACAAAUACAGUUGUGUGUGUGGGUGUGAAGCAAGGGUAAGAAAGGCAAAAGGAGUUCGACAAGAGCUAAAUUGAAAUUGGAAGGGGAGCAUUAAGAAACGGGAAUAAAAUAAGGUUGUUUUGUGCGACGACACAACCGAAAACCCAUUAACUUUUGAAUAUUGUGCCAAAUUGCGCGCCCCUCGUUCGUUCGUUAACCAACACUGCCCGCCGAAUGCAACCCUGCUCAAACACACACACACAUACACAAGCGCGCAGGAGGCAAAAUUCACACACAAGCAAAUAUUUUUUUGUUAUUAUUGAACAGUGGAGAACAGCGCAAAAAAGAAAAAACGAGCUUACGAACGGGAAAAGCAAAGCGGGUGCGUGGAAAACGGCAGUGCAACAACAAUGGCAAAGGGAAAGCCAUAGGAAAAUUAAUAACGCGGGGGAGCAAAGUCGGCAGAGGAGCAAGAAGAAGCAGAGGAAGAACAGCCAGAGAAGGAGAGCAAGAAGAAGAAGCAGCGCAGCCGCUAAUUGUCGCGUCGUUCGUUGUUGUUGCUGCCUUGCGAAAAACCGAAAAAGAAAUUGCAAAGAAACGAGCAAAUAAAUAAAAUUAAGUUAUUAACAAGUUGAAAAGCAGCGGAAAACUAGAGAAGCGAACGAGAAACAGCGGCGCAAAGGACAAGGAAAGAAGGGAGAACGAACGAAAAGGUCAAAAAAUUUAGUAAUCAAAUUGCACAAAUCGCCAGAGAUGAGAGCAAAUCAAUAAUAAUAACAA